GCUGACCUUUCCCGGAAAACAGCUGAUCAUUCAUUUCACUAGCAACCUGCCAGCUGGCUGCUGCACAGAGUGCACACUGCAGGUUGCAAGUCGCGUCGCAGUCGCACUCGGCCACUCGCAUUGGCCGCUGGCGCAAAUCUUAGUGCGGCUCAAGUUCUCCGUAGAUGACCUGUAUAAGCAAUAUGGCACCCGGACAUAUUGCGACUCAACAUGAAAAAAUGCUGUUCAGACAAUCAAAUUUUUUCUCAUUAGGCUAUACACAACUUCAGUGUGUCACCUGUCAGUCUUGGCUUACUUCAAUGGCAGAAGCUGCUCACCACACUCUUAGCUGCUAUUCUCAGAGACAGAGAAGAAAAGUAAAGUGCCUCAUGAUGACUCAAUUGGAGUGGAUAUCACAACAGAUUCGGCUAGUGAAAG